rnacentral:rRNA from 1 species
UACGUAGGGUGCGAGCGUUAAUCGGAAUUACUGGGCGUAAAGCGUGCGCAGGCGGUUUUGUAAGCCAGAUGUGAAAUCCCCGGGCUUAACCUGGGAAUGGCAUUUGGGACUGCAAGGCUGGAGUGCGGCAGAGGAGACUGGAAUUCCUGGUGUAGCAGUGAAAUGCGUAGAGAUCAUGAGGAAGACCAGUGGCGAAGGCGGGUCUCUGGACAGUUCCUGACACUGAGACACGAAGGCCAGGGGAGCAAACGGG